GGGGUCUGGGACCCCGGGCGUCCUCCGUUGCGCCCCGCCCUCCUCUCAGUCGGAGGUCCUCUUUGGAAUGUUUUUCCACCUGCUGGGUUUUUAGAAACCCGUGAGGGGGUUAAACUGGAGCGUGUCAAACUCCAUUCUGUGUGCCGAGGGGUUCGGAAGUUAAUCUUUCUUUUCCCUGGUCUUGUUUGGGUUGCUUAGAAUUCAGAGUUUUCUUUUUUGUUCUUUUGAAAUAGUAUUUUUCAAGUCUUUAAGUGUAGUUGCGAUAAACAAUUAACGAAGAAUAUUGUGUUUCUGAUAAUUUUAACUUUAUUUUAGAAUACUCUGCUAACCACACAGUUAAAACUCCUAACUUACCUUCACAACUCCAAAGUUGUUCAUUGGCGUGAGGAAGCUGGGACCUGGGGUCACCUACAGACAAUGUAUAUUAAGUUGUUCAGCGAUAAAAACUGAGCAGCCUUAAUGGUUUUGAUCCUCCGAGAAGAGAAACGAGAUUAAAUUCCUCUUGACACCAAAUUCGGAAUUUGAUUUUUUUUUUAAAUGUAAAAUACUAUAAACUGUGUGUGUGUGUGUGCGUGUGUGUGUUUUCAUCCUGUACUGGGAAUUGAAUCCAGGGACACUACCACUGAAUUACAUUGCCAGCCUUGUGUAUUUUCUAUUUUGAGACAGGUUCUUGCUAAAUUGCUCAGGCUGGUUUGGAACUUGCAGUCCUACUGCCUAAGCCUCCC
rnacentral:lncRNA from 1 species